rnacentral:rRNA from 1 species
GAUGAACGCUGGCGGCGUGCUUAACACAUGCAAGUCGAACGAAGCAUUUUAACAGAUUAUUUCGGUAUGAAGUUUUUAAUGACUGAGUGGCGGACGGGUGAGUAACGCGUGAGUAACCUGCCCUGGAGAGGGGGGACAACAGUUGGAAACGACUGCUAAUACCGCAUAAGCCCACGGAACCGCAUGGUUCUGAGGGAAAAGGAUUUAUUCGCUUCAGGAUGGACUCGCGUCCAAUUAGCUAGUUGGUGAGGUAACGGCCCACCAAGGCGACGAUUGGUAGCCGGACUGAGAGGUUGAACGGCCACAUUGGGACUGAGACACGGCCCAGACUCCUACGGGAGGCAGCAGUGGGGGAUAUUGCACAAUGGGGGAAACCCUGAUGCAGCGACGCCGCGUGGAGGAAGAAGGUUUUCGGAUUGUAAACUCCUGUCGUUAGGGACGAUAAUGACGGUACCUAACAAGAAAGCACCGGCUAACUACGUG